rnacentral:tRNA from 1 species
GAGGCUUUAGUAUAAAUAAGUAUAAUUUAUUUUCAAUAAAUUGGUUUGAAGUCUUGUA